rnacentral:rRNA from 1 species
CGCGUAGGCGGUUUUACAAGUCAGAUGUGAAAGCCCUGGGCUUAACCUAGGAACUGCAUUUGAGACUGUAAGACUAGAGAUCGAGAGAGGAAAGUGGAAUUACGAGUGUAGAGGUGAAAUUCGUAGAUAUUCGUAAGAACACCAGUGGCGAAGGCGACUUUCUGGCUCGAUACUGACGCUAAGGCGCGAAAGCGUGGGGAGCAAACAGGAUUAGAUACCCUGGUAGUCCACGCUGUAAACGAUGAGUGCUAGAUGUUGGUGGAGGAAUUCAUCAGUGUCGCAAGCUAACGCGUUAAGCACUCCGCCGUGGGGAGUACGGUCGCAAGAUUAAA